rnacentral:lncRNA from 13 species
UGGAUAGUAGCCAUCAGAGGAAGUGAUGCUAUUGACAUCACGGAUAGUAGCCAUCAGAGGAAGUGAUGCUAUUGACAUCAUGGUCAUGGAUAGUAGCCAUCAGAGGAAGUGAUGCUAUUGACAUCAUGGUCGUGGAUAGUAGCCAUCAGAGGAAGUGAUGCUAUUGACAUCAUGGAUAGUAGCCAUCAGAAGAAGUGAUGCUAUUGACAUCGUGGAUAGUAGCCAUCAGAGGAAGUGAAUGUUACUGACAUCGUGGAUAGUAGCCAUCAGAGGAAGUGAUGCUAUUGACAUCAUGGAUAGUAGCCAUCAGAGGAAGUGA